rnacentral:rRNA from 1 species
CAGUGCCGCGGGAAAACAGAGGGUGCGAGCGUUAAUCGGAUUUACUGGGCGUAAAGCGUGCGUAGGCGGCUUCUUAAGUCGGAUGUGAAAUCCCUGAGCUUAACUUAGGAAUUGCAUUCGAUACUGGGAAGCUAGAGUAUGGGAGAGGAUGGUAGAAUUCCAGGUGUAGCGGUGAAAUGCGUAGAGAUCUGGAGGAAUACCGAUGGCGAAGGCAGCCAUCUGGCCUAAUACUGACGCUGAGGUACGAAAGCAUGGGGAGCAAACAGGAUUAGAUACCCGCGUAGUCCCUGUCUCUUAUACA